CGGAUGCUUCACCUGUCUGAUCAUCUCUGAAAAGGUAAAUCUGUUCUGGUUGAGUUAAGUUUCAAACAAUUAAAAAAGCAAACACACAAUACGUUCUCUUUACCCCAGUUAACGGAUGUAACAGUUUCCUAAAAUAUGGAGACUAAACACAGUGCGAGAAAGUUUCUUUGAUUGAACAAAUCAUAUGAAUAUUUAAUGAGAGAGUGUGGGGAUCUCUGGGCCCUGGUUGUGGUGGCAAGCCAGCGUCUACUCCAUCAACCCUUAUUACGCCUCCACAAUCCCAUAAUAGCCCCCGGUUUAUGUUUAGCCCUCUCCUGCAACACCUACUCUUCCGCCGAGAUAAAGAGAGAUGGAGAGGCGGUGAAAGACAGAGAGAUGGAAAAAGAGAUGGAAGUCAAACAAUAAAAUAAAAUGUGGCAUAUACCACAAUAAAAAAAUGUAUAUUUUUGGCUUGUUCUGCAG
rnacentral:lncRNA from 1 species